GACGAACGCUGGCGGCGUGCCUAAUACAUGCAAGUCGAACGCAGUGGGGACGGGUGAGUAACACGUGGGUAACAUCCCCAUAAGAGGGGAUAACACAUGGAAACAGGUGCUAAAACGAUAAUACUUGAUGGACCCGCGGUGCAUUAGCUCGUUGGGGGGGUAACGGCUCACCAAGGCCACGAUGCAUAGCCGACCUGAGAGGGUGAUCGGCCACACUGGGACUGAGACACGGCCCAGACUCCUACGGGAGGCAGCAGUAGGGAAUCUUCGGCAAUGGACGAAAGUCUGACCGAGCAACGCCGCGGGAGUGAAGAAGGUUUUCGGAUCGUAAAACUCUGUUGUUAGAGAAGCGGUAUCUAACCAGAAAGCCACGGCUAACUACGUGCCAGCAGCCGCGGUAAUAC
rnacentral:rRNA from 1 species